rnacentral:tRNA from 1 species
GGUAAAAUGGCUGAAAUAAGCAUUAGACUGUAAAUCUAAAUAUAGAGGUUUAAAUCCUCUUUUUACCA